UGGGGAAUUUUGGACAAUGGGCGCAGGCCUGAUCCAGCCAUGCCGCGUGCGGGAAGAAGGCCCUCGGGUUGUAAACCGCUUUUGUCAGGGAAGAAAUCUUCUGAGUUAAUACCUCGGGAGGAUGACGGUACCUGAAGAAUAAGCACCGGCUAGCUACGUGCCAGCAGCCGCGGUAAUACGUAGGGUGCAAGCGUUAAUCGGAAUACUGGGCGUAAAGCGUGCGCAGGCGGUUUUGUAAGACAGNGGUGAAAUCCCCAGGCUCAACCUGGGAACUGCCUUUGUGACUGCAAGGCUUGAGUGCGGCAGAGGGGGAUGGAAUUCCGCGUGUAGCAGUGAAAUGCGUAGAUAUGCGGAGGAACACCGAUGGCGAAGGCAAUCCCCUGGGCCUGCACUGACGCUCAUGCACGAAAGCGUGGGGAGCAAACAGGAUUAGAU
rnacentral:rRNA from 1 species